AGUGAACGCUGGCGGUAGGCCUAACACAUGCCAGUCGAACGGCAGCACAGUAAGGGCUUGCUCUUACGGGUGGCGAGUGGCGGACGGGUGAGGAAUACAUCGGAAUCUACUUUUUCGUGGGGGAUAACGUAGGGAAACUUACGCUAAUACCGCAUACGACCUACGGGUGAAAGCAGGGGAUCUUCGGACCUUGCGCGAUUGAAUGAGCCGAUGUCGGAUUAGCUAGUUGGCGGGGUAAAGGCCCACCAAGGCGACGAUCCGUAGCUGGUCUGAGAGGAUGAUCAGCCACACUGGAACUGAGACACGCUCCAGACUCAUACGGGAGGCAGCAGGGGGGAAUAUUGGGCAAUGGGCGCAAGCCUGAUCCAGCCAGACCGCGUGGGUGAAGAAGGCCUUCGCGUUGUAAAGCCCUUUUGUUGGGAAAGAAAAGCAGCAGGUUAAUACCCCGCUGUUCGGACGGUACCCAAAGAAUAAGCACCGGCUAACUUCGU
rnacentral:rRNA from 1 species